rnacentral:rRNA from 1 species
UACGGAGGAUGCGAGCGUUAUCCGGAUUUAUUGGGUUUAAAGGGAGCGUAGGUGGGAUAUUAAGUCAGCUGUGAAAGUUUGGGGCUCAGCCUUAAAAUUGCAGUUGAUACUGGUUUCCUUGAGUACGGUAUAGGUGGGCGGCAUUCGUGGUGUAGCGGUGAAAUGCUUAGAUAUCACGAAGAACUCCGAUCGCGAAGGCAGCUCACCGGGCCGGAACUGACACUGAUGCUCGAAAGUGCGGGUAUCAAACAGGAUUAGAUACCCUGGUAGUCCGCACAGUAAACGAUGAAUACUCGCUGUUUGCGAUACACUGUAAGCGGCCAAGCGAAAGCGUUAAGUAUUCCACCUGGGGAGUACGCCGGCAACGGUGAAACUCAAAUGAAUUGACGGG